rnacentral:rRNA from 1 species
GACGUAGGGCGCGAGCGUUGUCCGGAUUUAUUGGGCGUAAAGAGCUCGUAGGCGGCUCAUUGCGUCAACCGUGAAAACCUGCCGCUCAACGGUAGGCUUGCGGUUGAUACGGGUGGGCUGGAGUUCGGUAGGGGCAGAGGGAAUUUCCGGUGGAGCGGUGAAAUGCAUUGAGAUCGGAAAGAACACCAACGGCGAAAGCACUCUGCUGGGCCGACACUGACACUGAGAGACGAAAGCUAGGGGAGCAAAUGGG